AAAUUUAUAGUUUAAAGGGAUAAAACAAAAAUUUUCUAAAUUUUUAAUAUAAGUUCAAAUCUUAUUAAAUUUA
rnacentral:tRNA from 1 species